rnacentral:lncRNA from 1 species
CGCCGGCGGAACCGUUAUUGUCUCCCACCGCCGUAUUCUCGUCGUCGUCGUCGUCGCGACAAGUACAGAAUCAGCAUCUCCAUCAUCAACGUCAUCUUCCUCCUCCUCCCUUGUUGUUGCUGGAACCGUCGCCGGGAAACAGUACUCUGUUGUCUCCGCCGGCACACAGUACUCUGUUGCAGCAGACGCCGGGGCAGCUGCAGCAGAAACUUCCACCGCCGAUGCCUCCUCAACCUACGCCGGUAACAAUGAUCGUCAGUCCUCUUCCUACACCAUCGCCGGCUGCGAUCACUGGGACGGCGGCUCAAAAUUCACAUGGGUCCGAUGGUGUGGACAGAGUAGGUGGAAAGGUUAGUUAUA